ACCUUGCACUAUUGGAGCGGCCGAUGUCGGAUUAGCUAGUUGGUGGGGUAACGGCCCACCAAGGCUGCGAUCCGUAGCUGGUCUGAGAGGACGACCAGCCACACUGGGACUGAGACACGGCCCAGACUCCUACGGGAGGCAGCAGUGGGGAAUUUUGGACAAUGGGGGCAACCCUGGUCCAGCCAUGCCGCGUGGGUGAAGAAGGCCUUCGGGUUGUAAAGCCCUUUCGGUGGGGACGAAACGGUGCGUGCUAACACCACGCACUACUGACGGUACCCACAGAAGAAGCACCGGCUAACUACGUGCCAGCAGCCGCGGUAAUACGUAGGGUGCAGGCGUUAAUCGGAAUUACUGGGCGUAAAGCGUGCGCAGGCGGUUUGCUAAGACAGGUGUGAAAUCC
rnacentral:rRNA from 1 species